AGAGUUGAUCAUGGCUCAGGAGUGAACGCUAGCGACAGGCUUAACACAUGCAAGUCGAGGGGCAGCAUAAAAGUAGCAAUACUUGGUGGCGACCGGCGCACGGGUGAGUAACGCGUAUGCAACCUACCUAUCAGAGGGGAAUAACCCGGCGAAAGUCGGACUAAUACCGCAUAAAACAGGGGCACCGCAUGGUGAUAUUUGUUAAAGAAAUUCGCUGAUAGAUGGGCAUGCGUUCCAUUAGGUAGUUGGUGAGGUAACGGCUCACCAAGCCGACGAUGGAUAGGGGAACUGAGAGGUUGGUCCCCCACACUGGUACUGAGACACGGACCAGACUCCUACGGGAGGCAGCAGUGAGGAAUAUUGGUCAAUGGGCGGGAGCCUGAACCAGCCAAGUCGCCGUGAAGGAAGAAGGAUCUAUGGUUCGUAACUUCUUUUGCAGGGGAAUAAAGUGCAGGACGUGUCCUGUUUUGUAUGUACCCUGAGAAUAAGGAUCGGCUAACUCCGUGCCAGCCGCCGC
rnacentral:rRNA from 1 species